rnacentral:tRNA from 1 species
CCUGAAGUGGCUCAGUAGGUUGAGCGUCUGACUUCGGCUCAGGUCAUGAUCUGCGGUUCAUGGGUUCAAGCCCCACCUCAGGC